CCUACGGGAGGCAGCAGUGGGGAAUAUUGCACAAUGGGCGCAAGCCUGAUGCAGCCAUGCCGCGUGUGUGAAGAAGGCCUUCGGGUUGUAAAGCACUUUCAGCGGGGAGGAAGGCGGUGAGGUUAAUAACCUCAUCGAUUGACGUUACCCGCAGAAGAAGCACCGGCUAACUCCGUGCCAGCAGCCGCGGUAAUACGGAGGGUGCAAGCGUUAAUCGGAAUUACUGGGCGUAAAGCGCACGCAGGCGGUCUGUCAAGUCGGGUGUGAAAUCCCCGGGCUCAACCUGGGAACUGCAUUCGAAACUGGCAGGCUAGAGUCUGGUAGAGGGGGGUAGAAUUCCAGGUGUAGCGGUGAAAUGCGUAGAGAUCUGGAGGAAUACCGGUGGCGAAGGCGGCCCCCUGGACAAAGACCGACGCUCAGGUGCGAAAGCGUGGGGAGCAAACAGGAUUAGAUACCCGUGUAGUC
rnacentral:rRNA from 1 species